GCGGAUGUAGCCAAGUGGUUAAGGCAAUGGAUUGUGAAUCCAUGACCCGCGGGUUCAAUUCCCGUCGUUCGCC
rnacentral:tRNA from 1 species